rnacentral:rRNA from 1 species
UAGGUGGCAAGCGUUGUCCGGAUUUACUGGGCGUAAAGGGAGCGUAGGUGGAUUUUUAAGUGGGAUGUGAAAUGCUCGGGCUUAACUUGGGUGGUGCAUUCCAAACUGGAUAUCUGGAGUUGAAGAGAGGAAAGUGGAAUUCCUAGUGUGGCGGUGAAAUGCGUAGUGAUUAGGAAGAAUACCAAUGGCUAAGGCGACUUUCUGGACUGUAACUGACACUGAGGCUCCAAAACUGGGGGAGAAAACAGGAUUAGAUACCCUGGUAGUCCACCCCGUAAACAAUGAAUACUAGGUGUAGGGG